AGUCCGGCGCUGUCCUUGGCUCUUGACAGGCAGUUAGUCGCGGUGUUUGUUGAACUGAGGCACGCCGUCCAUCCAUGAUGUGAUGGAAUCAGCAAAGUAGGGUGAGUGCCAACGAGGCCCCGUGGACAAGGAGCAGGAACAGCGAAGUUUCACGCCAGGCAGAGGUGGUUAUCCUGCUGUGAUGACACUUCACUCCUCCGUUCCAGAACUAUGCUGCCUCUCCUCUCAGCCACCUGACUAUCCACUUUGCAACCGAGACCAAAUCACAGACACCACAGCCCUUGAAAGGACAAUUAAAAGCAAGUGUGGCAAUGCGAAACAAUUGGUAAUCUGCUAAAAUACUCCUAGGCUUCCUCCCUAAUUUCCCCUGGUUCUGCUGAAUUUCUUUUGGAUUCUAGGAGUAGAAGAAGGAAAGACAUUUCCAAGGCAGACUUCACUAGCGUGCCGCAAAUGGGCAAUGGAAUGAGCGUUCAUGUUGACACCUGUAAAAACCUCACUUGAAUGUUUCCACAUUCAUAUUUCAUACGGGAAAGCUUUUUAGCCGUAGGGAGACAGAGCUGAUCUGUCCUGAGGCAGUGAUAGGACUACUUUUAUUGCACGACAAACUUUCUUAGUGUGAUUUUUAGGGACAGCUCCGACCAGCAGCUGAGGACCACAUGGAUAUUUAUUUCGGUUACGGGCAUGAUGAAUUAAGUAAUUUCGUGGCAAUAGGUGUUGCAAAGCCGCUUUCCUUUUGGAUGUUUUGCUCUUGGAAAUAUCAAACAUCUGCCCAGGGCAAGUAGCUAAAUAGCAGCAAUUUUCUAGCUCAUUCCUAUUUUUGGCUUUCAGUGCCGAAGGCAUUUGAACACCCAUGUCGGAGGCUGGAUUCUCCUGAAGCCUGGGGAAUGUAGGAGAGCCAAGCUGUUUCAGAUCAAUUGCGGCCCGUGCUUAAAGGGCUAGUAAAAACAGGUUAUAAUGUUUACAUGACUUUUUAUGGGUCAGAGUUUAUUACAGCUCUAGUCUAUGGCCUACAGCGGAGGGACAUUUACAGGAUUUUGCUGUAUUUGACAGUUCUGUUUCAGGGUAUCUGGUCCUGUGAUUUUAUUAACCUGGCUGAGUAUGGUUAUGAUGGAGUGGUUGCGGAACUGCAUGGUGGCUCAGAGGGGUACAUCUAGUUACUGAGGGCUGUAAUCUGGGUAUUUGGCUCCUGGAGGAACGCAGUCUUAAUCACAGGUAAAAUCCAACAACCUGCCAUCUCACAGCAUCUCAAAGGUGGUUCAUAGUCUGCCUGUGGGUCCAAUUCAUCUAAGGAAUCUGAACUCUGCCAAAAAUACAGAGGUCAAGGUGCA
rnacentral:lncRNA from 12 species